AGUGAACGCUGGCGGCGUGCUUAACACAUGCAAGUCGAACGAGAACGGAUUAUAGCUUGCUAUAAUUGUCAGCUAAGUGGCGCACGGGUGCGUAAUGUAUAGGUAAUAUGCCUCUUACUAAGGGAUAACAAAUGGAAACGUUUGCUAAUACCUUAUACUGCUUAUUAACAUAAGUUAAUAAGGGAAAGAUUUAUUGGUAAGAGAUUAGCCUGUAUUGUACCAGUUAGUUGGUGGGGUAAUGGCUUACCAAGACUAUGACACAUAACUGGUUCGAAAGGAUGAUCAGUCACACUGGAACUGAGACACGGUCCAGACUCCUACGGGAGGCAGCAGUGGGGAAUAUUGCACAAUGGACGAAAGUCUGAUGCAGCAACGCCGCGUGGAGGAUGACACAUUUCGGUGCGUAAACUCCUUUUAUAUGAGAAGAUAAUGACGGUAUUAUACGAAUAAGCACCGGCUAACUCCGUGCCAGCCGCCGCCGUAA
rnacentral:rRNA from 1 species